UAAGUUAAUCAGAUGGUUGCAUCUCUUUUGAGAUGAGGAAAGUCCGAGCUCCACAGGAUAGGAUGCCGGGUAACGCCCGGUGGAGGUAACUCCCAGGCUAGUGCCACAGAAAUAUACCGCCUUUUAAUUAAGGUAAGGGUGAAAAGGUAAGGUAAGAGCUUACCGGGUUUCAGGUAACUGGAAUGCCAGGUAAACCCCAUCUGGAGUAAGUCCAAAUAGGGAGAUAUAAGGGUGAUCCGCCUUUCUCCGGGUUAGGACGCUGGAGUAAAUAGGCAACUGUUUACCUAGAUAGAUGACCAUCAAGACAGAACUCGGCUUAUAGAUUGACUUAUUUU
rnacentral:RNase_P_RNA from 1 species